UCACUUAACCGGCAGGGGAAAUACCGUGAUCGUGAAGGUGGAUUUCCCAGGGUGAGGUUUAUCCGUUGCACAACAAAUGUGCUCACUUUGUGUCUUUGUGUUACCUUUUGGUCAUUCUUACAACAUUUCAAACCUUUUUCAUUAUUUUUAUGUC
rnacentral:snRNA from 1 species